rnacentral:rRNA from 1 species
GAUGUAGGGCGCGAGCGUUGUCCGGAUUUAUUGGGCGUAAAGAGCUCGUAGGCGGCUCGUUGCGUCGGCUGUGAAAACCCGCAGCUCAACUGUGGGCUUGCAGCCGAUACGGGCGGGCUGGGAUUCGGUAGGGGAGACUGGAAUUCCUGGUGUAGCGGUGAAAUGCGCAGAUAUCGGAAGGAACAUCAGUGGCGAAAGCGACUUCCUGGACCAAUACUGACGCUCAUGUGCGAAAGCGUGGGGAGCAAACAGG